UACAGAGGGGGCAAGCGUUGUUCGGAUUUAUUGGGCGUAAAGCGCUCGCAGGUGGUCCGCUGCGUCGUGCGUGAAAGACCCCGGCUCAACUGGGGGAUGUCGUGCGAUACGGGCGGACUGGAGGCCAGUAGGGGGAUGCGGAAUUCCGGGUGUAGUGGUGGAAUGCGUAGAGAUCCGGAGGAACACCAGCGGCGAAGGCGGCAUCCUGGACUGGUCCUGACACUCAGGAGCGAAAGCGUGGGGAGCGAUCCGG
rnacentral:rRNA from 1 species